rnacentral:rRNA from 1 species
CACGGGGGGAGCAAGCGUUGUUCGGAAUUACUGGGCGUAAAGGGCGUGUAGGCGGUCUGGUAAGUGGGAUGUGAAAUGCCCCGGCUCACCCGGGGACCUGCAUCCCAAACUACCUGGCUUGAGUAUGGGAGAGGAUGAGGGAACUCCUGGUGUAGCGGUGAAAUGCGUAGAUAUCAGGAGGAACACCGGUGGCGAAAGCGCUCAUCUGGCCCAAUACUGACGCUGAGGCGCGAAAGCUAGGGGAGCAAACGGG